GUCGUUGUCAACCUGCAGGGACACGAGGGCAGCCAAUCAGGAAAUCAGAAAACACAGCGACCAGCCAAUCAGAAAACACAGCAGAGUCUUGGAGACGCAACAAUUAACACGCCUGCCCGGGUCAACGCAACCUCAAAUACAACUGGAGCAGGCACGGCACACUUGUUUCGCAGGAGACCCUGUCCCCAGUCUGAAGAGAUGUACUGUUAUCUACCUAUUCUGGGUCUAGGAAGAACCAACUGGAUAGAGAGACACCAUCGCCAGCCCUGUAUGCAGGACAGAGAAGACUGGACUGGGGUGAGCAGGGAAGUGUCUGUAUAGCGAUGUACCUGCUGUGCGUCUGGGCUGCUAGACUGGUUAGCUAUAUGCAGGGAUGCAGGGACAGGGCAGCCCCGGUGACUUACCGGCCAGCUUGCGGUUGUCCAGUUUGAGGCGGUUGAGCGGGUUGGUGCCGUACAGGAGGACGUGGCGCUCAGAGUGCACGGACUGCAGCUCCUCCAGCGUGGCCUUCCUGCCCCGGAUACUCUGAGAGGGGAAGGGGGAGAGGGGGUUACACGCGGCCGGCUGUCUUUUUAUUCACUUCAGUGUUUAGUAUCUCAGAUAGAGGGAGAGGCGGUCAACGCUGAGCUGGACGCUGUGGAGAUGAGCGCGUGUGCAGACCGGACCGGUCAACGCUGAGCCGGACGCUGUGGAGAUGAGCGCGUGUGCGGUCCGGACCGGUCAACGCUGAGCCAGACGCUGUGGAGAUGAGCGCGUGUGCGGUCUGGACCGGUCAACGCAGAGCCGGACGCUGUGGAGAUGAGCGCGUGUGCGGUCUGGACCGGUCAACGCAGAGCCGGACGCUGGCGGUUAAAGUUUGGAUCCUCGGAUUCCGCUCCUGACACGGGAACAGAAGCUCUGGAAUGGCCGGGAUGGGCUGCUCUACUUCCACACUGCUUCUGCUGCAGGACCGCGCUGCUGAAGGGCUUUACCCUACUGGAUCCGUUCCGUCCUGCGUUUAAAACGCGUCAAUUAAUUUAACAAGCGUGUGCAUUCCCUAUUGCACCCUGCACACAGAGUCUGUAACCGUAUGCACAAUGCUGAGGCACCAAAUUUUAU